rnacentral:rRNA from 1 species
UACAGGGGGUGCAAACGUUGCUCGGAAUCAUUGGGCGUAAAGCGCACGUAGGCGGUCUGUUAUGUCGGAUGUGAAAGCCCUUGGCUUAACCGAGGAAGUGCAUCCGAAACUGGCAGGCUAGAGUACUAAAGAGGGUCGCGGAAUUCCCGGUGUAGAGGUGAAAUUCGUAGAUAUCGGGAGGAAUACCGGUGGCGAAGGCGGCGACCUGGGUAGAUACUGACGCUGAGGUGCGAAAGCGUGGGGAGCAAACAGG